AAAGGGACUCACAGUUGGAGGUUUUGGGCAGGGAAGCCUUGAUACCAGGACAGGUGUUGACAACGGCCAAACUCCUCAGCGGAGAAAGGAAACCCGCGGGAUCGUGGUUUACCUCCAUUUCCUGGUAUCGCUGCCAAACUCACUUUUCCUGCUGGCUUUGCUGAGCAAGAGAGCCCUGUUGCAGUGGUGGCAAGAGGGAGGUGACCUUGAAGGCCCAGCCAUCACUCCUAAGCAGAGGAGGCUCAGAAAUCUUGUUCUCAGUCCUAAGACCACAGCAUUCAACUGGAGUAAUCCCUUCUCACUGUAACCUGUCAUGAUCCCCACAUUGUUUUGUGUGACGCUUUGCCUGCUAAGAGCUGACCUAACAGAUGCUGGAAUCACUCAGACACCUAGAUACUGGAUCGCACAGACAGGAAGAAAGAUGACCCUGGAAUGUUCUCAGAAUAUAAACCACAAUUGGAUGUUCUGGUAUCGACAAAGUGCAGGAGAGGGAUUGAAGCUGAUCUAUUACUCCGGAAGUGUUGGCAGCACUACCAAAGGAGAUAUCCCCGAAGGAUACAGUGUCUCCAGAAACAAGACCGAGAAUUUUCCCCUGACAAUAGGCUCAGCCAGGCCCAGCCAGACCUCCAUGUACUUCUGUGCCAGUAGCGAACACAGCAUUGCACUUCCACCUGCUGCCAGCACAAGAAGGACAACCACAAAGUUAAGAUGGGCCCUUCUUCCUCAACCCCUACCCCAAUCAAAGGAAGCCUAUCUUCCUGAACCUUCUCCCAGCAAUGGAAUUUCAGCCAGAAUGGCUUUGUACUGCAUGAAUCUUAGCGAGAGCUGA